AGCGAACGCUGGCGGCAGGCCUAACACAUGCAAGUCGAACGAACCCUUCGGGGUUAGUGGCGGACGGGUGAGUAACACGUGGGUACGUGCCUUUAGUUCGGAAUAACUUAGGGAAACUUGUGCUAAUACCGAAUGUGCCCUUCGGGGGAAAGAUUUAUCGCCUAUAGAGCGGCCCGCGUCUGAUUAGCUAGUUGGUGAGGUAAUGUCUCACCAAGGCUACGAUCAGUAGCUGGUCUGAGAGGAUGACCAGCCACAUUGGGACUGAGACACGGCCCAAACUCCUACGGGAGGCAGCAGUGGGGAAUCUUGCGCAAUGGGCGAAAGCCUGACGCAGCCAUGCCGCGUGGAUGAUGAAGGUCUUAGGAUUGUAAAAUCCUUUCACCGGUGAAGAUAAUGACUGUAGCCGGAGAAGAAGCCCCGGCUAACUUCGUGCCAGCAGCCGCGGUAAUAC
rnacentral:rRNA from 1 species